rnacentral:rRNA from 4 species
CUUGGCGACCAUAGCGUUUUGGACCCACCUGAACCCAUUCCGAACUCAGAAGUGAAACGAAAUAGCGUCGAUGGUAGUGUGGGGUUUCCCCAUGUGAGAGUAGAACAUCGCCAGGC